CUUUAUGGCGACUGCGCGGGCAACCUUUUGGUUGGCCGGUUCUGCUCUGUGUCCGGUAUUCCUACCCCGUGCAGUUCGCCGCCUUC
rnacentral:antisense_RNA from 1 species